rnacentral:rRNA from 1 species
AUGCACGCUGGCGGCGUGCCUAAUCCAUGCAAGUCGAGCGAACAGACGAGGAGCUUGCUCCUCUGACGUUAGCGGCGGACGGGUGAGUAACACGUGGAUAACCUACCUAUAAGACUGGGAUAACUUCGGGAAACCGGAGCUAAUACCGGAUAAUAUAUUGAACCGCAUGGUUCAAUAGUGAAAGACGGUUUUGCUGUCACUUAUAGAUGGAUCCGCGCCGCAUUAGCUAGUUGGUAAGGUAACGGCUUACCAAGGCAACGAUGCGUAGCCGACCUGAGAGGGUGAUCGGCCACACUGGAACUGAGACACGGUCCAGACUCCUGCGGGAGGCAGCAGUAGGGAAUCUUCCGCAAUGGGCGAAAGCCUGACGGAGCAACGCCGCGUGAGUGAUGAAGGUCUUCGGAUCGUAAAACUCUGUUAUUAGGGAAGAACAAAUGUGUAAGUAACUAUGCACGUCUUGACGGUACCUAAUCAGAAAGCCACGGCUAACUACGUG